rnacentral:hammerhead_ribozyme from 1 species
AUCUAGCUGACCGGUUUUGAAUAAGACGAAACGCGCGUCUUGGAU